ACCUCCAAGGCGAUGGUGGAUAUCUUCAACACCAACGCUUCUCCUGAGGUCAUCUUGAGUGACCGAGGUCAUGCACACUGGAACAAGCUUUGGUGAAUGGACCAACCAGACCCUCAAAACUGCCAUGGGCAAAUCCCUCGAUUGGUACCAGGAAGGUUGGGAGAACAACCUGAUGGUAAUUCUCUUUGCACACAACAGCAGCAUCCAGGCCUCCACAAAGUAUGGAUGUGAGACGCAGGUGUUGACUGAGAGAAACACAACCACGUCGCUAACCAGGAUACUUCUGCUUGAAAGAAAGAUCCCAAUCUGAGAUGUGCCCUGCUCCUACAGGGUCGCCCUGCUCCUACAGGGUCACCCUGCUUCAACAGGAUGGGGGCCCUAGAAUUACUCCUAUUCAGAAAUAACUCUGCUACAACAAAGUCUGCUACAACAAAGUUUCUAACUAGGGGUGUUUGCUUCAACAAAGACAAU